UUUUAAUAAAAGAUUAGGCAACCGAAUCGAAGUUCUAAAGGUGGACCGGUAAGAUUCUUCUUCUUUUUCUACCUUCUUCACUGAAUUUCCGCUUCUUCUGGCGAAUUCCCCACUGCCUGUGUGAAGUUGAGAAGAAAAUGGGAUGCGAUUGAGAUGGCGUGAGAACUGGGAGAGGAAUUUGCGAGUUGCCGAAAACUGAAUCGUGUUGCUGUGUGAAUUCGUAUUGGUGACAGGUUGGAGGUUUUUCUCUCGGAAGUCACUAAAGAUUCUAGGUUCUGUUGAAGAUUUUCACCGAGCGGGGACUUUCACAGGGUGAUCCAGAGAAGACAAUUAAGGCCAAGGAAUGACAGUGCAAUGGAGGUUGCUUGGAAUAUGUUGUCGUUGUUCACAGUCUUAGGUGAAUUGUAUCUAAGAGAUGAGCUUGAUGGCUUUCUCACCGGCCCAAGGUUGCACGAAUGCCCUGGAAACUCUAGCGCACACUUCCACUGUAUCGAGAGUUAAUGUCUGUGUGGAUACCCUUCUUGAGGGUUCAUCCUCUUUGAAUUCUCUGUUAGGAGCUAUAGGCCAGUGUUGCAGGUUCGAAGCUUGAGUGGUGAUGCCGGCUUGUUGUAAUACUGAACAUGUGAGCUCACGGGAUGUUAGAAAAAUAUGGUUUAAAUGUCUGUUACGGUUGAACAGUUGGUAGCAUAUAAUCAUAGUUUUGUUAGGUUUUAGAAGCAUGGUGAUGUUAAGUGUGAGAUUGGUAAGGUUUUCGGUUGUUUUGAAUUGUCCCUCUUACAUCAUGCUGCUUUUGGCUUGGUAGUAUGGUUCCUGCAAUUUCAAAUUAAUGUGUUUGGAUUCA